rnacentral:rRNA from 1 species
UACGUAGGGCGCAAGCGUUAUCCGGAAUUAUUGGGCGUAAAGAGCUCGUAGGCGGUUUGUCGCGUCUGCCGUGAAAGUCCGGGGCUCAACUCCGGAUCUGCGGUGGGUACGGGCAGACUAGAGUGAUGUAGGGGAGACUGGAAUUCCUGGUGUAGCGGCGAAAUGCGCAGAUAUCAGGAGGAACACCGGUGGCGAAGGCGGGUCUCUGGGCCGAUACUGACGCUGAGGAGCGAAAGCGUGGGGAGCGAACAGG